rnacentral:tRNA from 1 species
GCGCGAGCUGGGCACGUGGCGAGCCCACCCGGCUGUAGACCGGGCGCUUCGGCUGUGGCGGUCCGACUCCGUCCUCGCGCA